UACGUAGGGACCGAGCGUUGUCCGGAAUCAUUGGGCGUAAAGAGCGUGUAGGCGGCUUGCUAAGUCUUGCGUGAAAUCUCGGGGCUCAACCCCGAGCGGUCGUGGGAAACUGGCAGGCUAGAGUGCGGGAGAGGAGAAUGGAAUUCCUGGUGUAGCGGUGAAAUGCGCAGAUAUCAGGAAGAACACCCGUGGCGAAGGCGGUUCUCUGGAACGCAACUGACGCUGAGACGCGAAAAGCGUGGGGAGCAAACAGG
rnacentral:rRNA from 1 species